ACUGACCAGAUCACUUUCGUUAUUUUGUUUCAUUUACAACUAUAUUUUACACAUUGUUACAAUGUUUUAUGGACAUAGUGCGAGUGGAACGCAUCACGUGAAAAUUUAGAACACACAUAUCAGCUUGAGCAGUGGAUUGAAGACAGAGCACACUGAAGUUUAAAGGCCUUCCCAAACGGAUAAUGGAGGAGGUGUUCCAGGGGCCGGAGAACAAGCCAACACCACCGGUUUGUCAAAUGGAAAGAGACUUGAGGGCAUUUACAGCUGGUUUUUAUGCUGUACUUGUACUUUAUUUGUUGCACGUGCAUGUUUUAUUUUAUGUAAAGUCCCU